AUACUCUCCUACAAAUAUUGAAUGUAACAUAACCUCACUUUUUGUAAAUACUUAGAACCGAUGACAAUUUAACUAUAUAUAUUAAUAGCACCAAGACUUUAAACUAGGGGUCUAAAUCCAAAAGCCUGUUCAAGGUUUCUAUAGACUCCUAACCCAAAUGUAUCUACUUUAUUUUUAUUUUUUUUAAUAUGUAACAUAAUGGUAUAUCACAUGGGCAAAUCAUUAAAUAAAACUGAAAAAAUAAAAAAACUAUCCUUA